CCUACGGGUGGCAGCAGUGAGGAAUAUUGGUCAAUGGACGUAAGCCUGAACCAGCCAAGCCGCGUGCAGGAUGAAGGUUCUAUGGAUCGUAAACUUCUUUUAUACGAGGAUAAACUGCGGGACGUGUCCCGUUUUGUAUGUACCUUAUGAAUAAGGAUCGGCUAACUCCGUGCCAGCAGCCGCGGUAAUACGGAGGAUCCGAGCGUUAUCCGGAUUUAUUGGGUUUAAAGGGUGCGUAGGCGGCUUUUUAAGUUAGCGGUGAAAGUCUGUGGCUCAACCCUGGAACUGCCGUUAAUACUGGGGGACUAGAGAAUGUUUGCGGUAGGCGGAAUGCGUGGUGUAGCGGUGAAAUGCUUAGAGAUCACGCAGAACCCCGAUUGCGAAGGCAGCCUGCCAAGCUAUGACUGACGCUGAGGCACGAAAGCGUGGGGAGCAAACAGGAUUAGAUACCCGAGUAGUC
rnacentral:rRNA from 1 species